CCCUCAUUGAGUCCUGGUGGCCCUCGGCUGCACCACAAGGAUCACAUGACCACUGGUUUGAAGACUUCUUUUCCUCUGUUUUGCCAUCAGAUAACUUCAAGCAGAACUUGGACAAAUCUUCAGUCAGCAGGGCCGCCAUGAGUUGGUGCAACAGAGCAGCCUGCCUGAGACAAAGUGAUCUGAGGCGCACAAACUCCUGGUGAAGUUGUCUGUAGGCGUCCUCCAUCGCGGCUCACCACCUCCACCAGAACAAUGGAAGAUAAAUGAUGAUGACAUUCAUGACAGCCAGAGUGACCAGGGCAUUCACACCACAAAGUCGCCCCCAGGUCCGGACGAGGAUGACAAGACCAGCAAUGUACAACAAUUCCUUUAUUUCUCUGUUGUAUCAUAUCUCGUUAUUACUUCCGUCUGUCAUCAGAUUCAAUUGUUUUGUCAUCUUAUUUUGUAAAUAUAUU